AAGACUAUACUUUCAGGGAUCAUUUCUAUAGUUCAUUACUUGAGAAGUGCGUUUCUAAAGUGUUUGGUCUCGCUAUUCACGAUGACGAGGUCCGGUAUCUCCUUCUGAGCGCGAAGCGGACUAAGAACCAGGAUUAUAUCUUGUGUUUUUAGUUUUUGAUGACCGUUCUGACUUACUUCGGUAUGUUCGGAGGAAGGAGAUGCGGUCUGAGUGAA